rnacentral:rRNA from 1 species
GAGGAAUAUUGGUCAAUGGACGGAAGUCUGAACCAGCCAAGUAGCGUGCAGGAUGACGGCCCUAUGGGUUGUAAACUGCUUUUGUAUGGGGAUAAAGUUAGGGACGUGUCCCUAUUUGCAGGUACCAUACGAAUAAGGACCGGCUAAUUCCGUGCCAGCAGCCGCGGUAAUACGGAAGGUCCAGGCGUUAUCCGGAUUUAUUGGGUUUAAAGGGAGCGUAGGCCGGAGAUUAAGUGUGUUGUGAAAUGUAGACGCUCAACGUCUGACUUGCAGCGCAUACUGGUUUCCUUGAGUACGCACAACGUUGGCGGAAUUCGUCGUGUAGCGGUGAAAUGCUUAGAUAUGACGAAGAACUCCGAUUGCGAAGGCAGCUGACGGGAGCGCAACUGACGCUUAAGCUCGAAGGUGCGGGUAUCGAACAGGAUUAGAUACCCUGGUAGUCCGCACAGUAAACGAUGGAUGCCCGCUGUUGGUACCUGGUAUCAGCGGCUAAGCGAAAGCAUUAAGCAUCCCACCUGGGGAGUACGCCGGCAACGGUG